AUGGGCGCUGGGGAGGGUUAAACGGGGUGGACCGGACCUUCUGUAAGGCUGCCGCUUUGCAUAAAAAUGGGAACAGGAGCUAAAAGGCAUUUAGAAACCACGUACCACAGAAAUUAGGCUGUAACAUUGGAAGAGAGAAUUAGAUCAUCGAUAUCACCAUAUACAAAAGAAACAAAAAGAAAGAUACCAGAAUGGAAAAAAAAACCUCAGAUCGUAUUCAUCCAGGCAGCAGCUGAAGAGUUUUCUAAACUCAAUUAGUGCAAGAAUGCUGUGACCAAUGGAAAAAUGUUUGAUGCAUGCCAGAAAACAAAUCUUCCCAGCUCUUGGAAAUAUGUUCUGAAAACAAAUAAGGA